rnacentral:lncRNA from 7 species
AAGUUUUAAGCCUGGAGUUUUUCUAUCUGCAUGUAAAGAUUUACUGGGUCUUAAGUACUCAAAGACAUAACUUUUAUAGCCAAAGAGAAGGAAAGCAAUGAUUCUGCCUCACCCUUUCCAUGCUGGAUUACCAUGGCCAACCUUUUGCCUGAGGAGAUCCACAAAGACUAAAGAAGAAGCUGGGCUAUAUGGUGAUAUCUGCAUCAUAAUCACCUUUUCUUGGAUCUUUUUGCCUGUGUACAGGAAAAAUUCAAUUAUUUCCUCUCCUCAAACAGCCUUAGCUCCACACUAGGGGUGUCUUAUGACCAAAGUAGCAGUAGUUGAGACAAGUUACUUCCAGUGUGGGUUGGCAGAACUGAGAGGAAGCAGAAUUUCUGUGGUGGCAGCACUCAGAAUUAUUAUGGAUGUGGUUACAGUGCUGGAGGAGCACUGUGAAAUUCCAGCUUUGGAGUAACAAAGACUAUGGGACAAGAUCAGCAUCUCUGGCAUAACUGGCCGUGGAGAGCUAGCUCUGGGAGGACAGGAUGAAGAUUCUUCAUGGCCAUUUGGUCUCCCUGACAGAAACAAACACAUUCACUGCUCUGGAGGAGCAUAUGUGAACAGUAGUGAACUGCAAGUUGAAAUAGCUGGUGAGUAGGAAGAGAGAUUUGAAUACCAGCAACUGGAGCAGAGCCAUGAACCACCAGGACUCAAACAUCCAGGUGACAGCAACUGAGAAGACCUGGAGAUUUGAGAGCCUGCUACUGGAUAUCUAAGAUCAGUUUUUGGAAAAAAUGAUGAUGUUUGUGCCUAUUCCUAUAGCAACUUUAAUCCUUAUCAGCUGGACAUGAAGAACAAGAUGAAGCCAUUUGUUCUGUUCAUGUUUCUGGGAGUCCUGUGUGUUUAGAUAGAAGGUGGAAGAGCAUUAUUUUCUGUAUUUGUCUGUGUGACUGGCCAUACAUACAAGUAUAUUCAUAGAAAUGCCUAUCUGUAUAUAGAUAUGUAAAAUAAACUAGGAUGGGAACAC